AUGGCGUCGGCGACUCCGGCAGGCGGCGGCGAGGGCAUCCACGGCGGCGGUGAGAUGCCGUUCUGGCCUCCUAGCGGAACGGCUGGCGUCGACGGCGAUGGCGGCGACGACUCCAGCUCCGCGUACUCGACCGACGAUGUGGAGGAGUCGAUUGAUGGAAACCCAAGGAUUAAUGCAUAUGAUUGUUUGUAUCACAUUGAAAAUCCAUCUUUAGGAGAGAAAGGGCUGGAUUUGGUAGACAGUCAUGCAGAAUUACAGAAGAUAAAGAGGAAGAUCCAGGACAAAUUGGUGCUUGAUUUGCUAGUCAGGGCUUGUCCACCCCCUGAUACUGAUUUUGAGUUGCAGCAAUGUGAAAUGCCAGAGUUGUCCACUGUGGUGUACCAAGAGCCUGUUGUUUUCGAUUUGAGUGAGCCUCCUGUCUUAGCUGUUGAUCAGCAAGGAGUAGUUUUUGAGAGUCAAUGUAGCAACUCUAGCACACCUCAUCCUGCUGGUGUUUGCACACAAGAAAGCAAGAAUGCAACAGCCAAGUUGAAAGCAGUUUUGGAAGAAGAAGAGGGAUAUCAAGGAUUUGAGGCAUAUGAGGACAGUGAUGCUAAUGCCUCUGAUGAGGAUGCUCAAAUUGGAAAUGACCAUCAUUACAUGCGUGACGAUGAAGAUGUAGAGGUGGAAGAGGGAAAGAGACAGAGAGAGCUAGAAGUACAAGAGGAAGAAUCAGAUGAUGAGCAAUCAGAAGAGGAAGAAAUGCUGCAUUAUGAGGGUGACACUGAAGUUGAGGAACCAUUUGAGGUAGAGGAAGAUAGGACUUUUGAAGAAGAAGAAGAAACUAUAGUUGAACCUGUGAAGAAGAAGCAGAAGCUACCAGUUAGAAGAGGACCAACAGCUAGGUCACAUUGUAGUAAGCUACCAGAGGUUGAACCUGAUUUCAGACCAUCAUCAGAUGAAAAAGAGAAGGGGUUGUUGAGGGAGAGUGAUGAUGAUGGUUUUGAGCCAGCCUCUUUUGUCCUACCAAAGAAAAGGAAGAGUAGGGCAAAGAAAAGGCCUGCUAGGAAGUGGUACAAUGAGAAAAUGGAGCAACCACAUGAGCAACUGUGUAUGAAGUUGUGUUUUAGGGAUCAGCAUCAAUUCAGAGAUGCUUUGUUGAAUUUGCACAUCACUCAGGCCAGGAAUUUUAAGUAUCACGGGAAUUCAGAUCAGAGGAUAAUUGUUGAGUGUCCAGAUAAACAAUGCCAGUUCUUUAUGGUGGCGGCAGUUAUAAAAGGGGAGAAAACCUUUGUAAUUAAGAAGAUGAGACUAGAGCACACUUGCCCUAGUACCACUGAGACCACCAGGGUUAGUGCUAAGUGGCUAGCACAGAAAUAUGAGCAUCUCUUCAGAUCUGAUAUAACUACUGGUAUUCAGACAAUAAUUGAUGCAUGCAUGGAAAAAUAUGGUGUAGAUGUGCCCAAGUGCAUGGCAUAUAGGGCAAAGAACAUAGCUAUUGAAGCUGUCUUAGGAGAUCACAAGAAGCAAUAUCCUAGGCUUAAAGACUAUGCUCAGACUGUCAUGGACACAAACCCUGGGAGUAGAGUAAUAGUCACUACUGUUACUCCAGUACCAAAUGCAAAAAUACCCCACCCAGGCCCAAGAUUCCAUGCCAUGUUCUUUUGCCUGAAUGGAGCAAGGGAGGGGUUUCUCAAUGGGUGUAGGCCAUUCAUUGGUGGAGAAGUGGGCAAGUUUGGACCUUAUACUAUAAUGUCAGAUAGACAAAAGGGGUUAUUGAAUGCAGUGAAUGCUGUCUUUCCAAAUUGCAACCAAAGAUUCUGCCUUAGGCAUUUAUAUGCAAAUUUCCAAAAUGCUGGGUUUAGGGGUGAAGAUCUUAAGAAGUGCAUGGAUAAUGCUAGCUAUGCCUACAAUGAACACAAAUUUAAUAUUGCAAUGAAUGAUCUUAGAGUUGAAAUGAACAACUUGUCUGAGGUGUUCAACAAGUACAUUCUAGAUGUUAGGAGAAAACCUAUAAGGACAAUGUGUGAUGGGAUAAAAGAUAAGCAGAUGGUGAGGUGGCAUAGGAACAGAGAGAGUGUAAAGGCAGCAAGAUGGGAUAUAACACCUCAUUACAGUGAGAAGCUAGAGGUUGAGAAGGAGAGGGCCAGAUAUUGCAAGCCAAUACAGGCAGGGGUCAACUUAUGGCAAGUUACAAGUGGGCAGCAAACACAUGCUGUCAACCUGGAACUUGAGACUUGUGGAUGCAAGAAGUGGGACCUUAGUGGCAUACCUUGCAACCAUGCCAUCUCUGCAAUAAACAAGGCUAAAAGGAAACCAGAGGAUUAUGUCAGCAAAUUCUUCAAGAAAGAUUUUUAUGCUGCAGCUUAUGAACCAAUGAUCUUUCCUGUGCCUGGUGAGCAUGAUUGGACAAGUACCCCUGGUCCAGACAUAGAACCACCUGCAUUCAAAAUCAAGAGAGGAAGAAAGAAAGAAAAGAGGAUCAAGGGAAAAUUUGAAGUACCAAAGCCAAAAGACACUUCAAGAAUGGGGACCAUAACAUGUGGCAAUUGUGGUCUCCAAGGGCAUAGCCAAGAGCUGCUGGUCCUUCUACUACAACAACAGCAAGACAGCCAAGAGCUGCUGCCAGAGGAGCUGCCAGAGGAAGAGGAGCUGCUACUUCUAAUACACCACCACCAUCUGGAAGAGGAAGAGGAAGAGGAGCUGCUACUUCUACUACACCACCACCAUCUGGAAGAGGAGCUGGCAGAGGAAGAGGAGCUGGAAGAGGUGCUCCAAGGCCAUUCAGUGCCCCCAGGCAAUAUGAUGACAUUCCUACUGAUGGUACACACACUGGAUGGAUGUCCAACUUCACUGCUAGCAGAGGAAGAGGAGCCAUGAAGGAGGGGGGAGGAGGCGCGCUCGCCGGUGCGCUACCGCGAGCUCCCAAUGGCAUACGAGCCUCCAGUGAUGUGCCACUGCUCACCUCCGAGGAAGGCGCCAAGAUGGAUCUCCUGGAGCAGGCAGAACCCUGGUAGGAGGUACUAUAGCUGCGUGGAUGCUAUGCACGGUGGAUGUGGAUUUGUGCAAUGGCAUGAUGAUCCAUUGCCCACAUUCUGGAGUGAGCUCAUUGGGGAUCUACGUGAUGAAGUAUGGAGGCUUAAAGGUGCAACUGUUGCUGGAGAGGAAGAUCAAUUUCCAAUGCUGACUCCAAGUGAAGAUGAUGGCACAAGGGAGGCCAUGUUUCUGUCUCUGCAAACUCAACUCAGAGAGAAGAAUGCAGAGAUUGUAGGGAUUAGGGCCAAAUUUCACAAUGUGUUGUUUCUUUUCACUAUAUUUGUGCUUGGGUUAGUUGCAGGCAAGAUAUUAAGUUAG
rnacentral:rRNA from 1 species